CUUGGGUGACGAGUGGCGGACGGGUGAGUAAUGUCUGGGAAACUGCCCGAUGGAGGGGGAUAACUACUGGAAACGGUAGCUAAUACCGCAUAAUGUCGCAAGACCAAAGAGGGGGACCUUCGGGCCUCUUGCCAUCGGAUGUGCCCAGAUGGGAUUAGCUAGUAGGUGGGGUAACGGCUCACCUAGGCGACGAUCCCUAGCUGGUCUGAGAGGAUGACCAGCCACACUGGAACUGAGACACGGUCCAGACUCCUACGGGAGGCAGCAGUGGGGAAUAUUGCACAAUGGGCGCAAGCCUGAUGCAGCCAUGCCGCGUGUAUGAAGAAGGCCUUCGGGUUGUAAAGUACUUUCAGCGAGGAGGAAGGUGUUGUGGUUAAUAACCGCAGCAAUUGACGUUACUCGCAGAAGAAGCACCGGCUAACUCCGUGCCAGCAGCCGCGGUAAUACGGAGGGUGCAAGCGUUAAUCGGAAUUACUGGGCGUAAAGCGCACGCAGGCGGUCUGUCAAGUCGGAUGUGAAAUCCCCGGGCUCAACCUGGGAACUGCAUCCGAAACUGGCAGGCUAGAGUCUUGUAGAGGGGGGUAGAAUUCCAGGU
rnacentral:rRNA from 1 species